rnacentral:rRNA from 1 species
CUGGAGGUAUCAGAAGUGCGAAUGCUGACAUAAGUAACGAUAAAGCGGGUGAAAAGCCCGCUCGCCGGAAGACCAAGGGUUCCUGUCCAACGUUAAUCGGGGCAGGGUGAGUCGACCCCUAAGGCGAGGCCGAAAGGCGUAGUCGAUGGGAAACGGGUUAAUAUUCCCGUACUUGGUGUUACUGCGAAGGGGGGACGGAGAAGGCUAUGUUGGCCGGGCGACGGUUGUCCCGGUUUAAGCGUGUAGGUGUGUGUUCCAGGUAAAUCCGGUUCACUUUAACACUGAGGCGUGACGACGAGGCACUACGGUGCUGAAGCAACAAAUGCCCUGCUUCCAGGAAAAGCCUCUAAGCAUCAGGUAACAUCAAAUCGUACCCCAAACCGACACAGGUGGUCAGGUAGAGAAUACCAAGGCGCUUGAGAGAACUCGGGUGAAGGAACUAGGCAAAAUGGUGCCGUAACUUCGGGAGAAGGCACGCUGACACGUAGGUGAAGUGAUUUACUCAUGGAGCUGAAGUCAGUCGAAGAUACCAGCUGGCUGCAACUGUUUAUUAAAAACACAGCACUGUGCAAACACGAAAGUGGACGUAUACGGUGUGACGCCUGCCCGGUGCCGGAAGGUUAAUUGAUGGGGUCAGCGCAAGCGAAGCUCCUGAUCGAAGCCCCGGUAAACGGCGGCCGUAACUAUAACGGUCCUAAGGUAGCGAAAUUCCUUGUCGGGUAAGUUCCGACCUGCACGAAUGGCGUAAUGAUGGCCAGGCUGUCUCCACCCGAGACUCAGUGAAAUUGAACUCGCUGUGAAGAUGCAGUGUACCCGCGGCAAGACGGAAAGACCCCGUGAACCUUUACUAUAGCUUGACACUGAACAUUGAGCCUUGAUGUGUAGGAUAGGUGGGAGGCUUUGAAGUGUGGACGCCAGUCUGCAUGGAGCCGGCCUUGAAAUACCACCCUUUAAUGUUUGAUGUUCUAACGUGGACCCGUGAUCCGGGUUGCGGACAGUGUCUGGUGGGUAGUUUGACUGGGGCGGUCUCCUCCUAAAGAGUAACGGAGGAGCACGAAGGUUGGCUAAUCCUGGUCGGACAUCAGGAGGUUAGUGCAAUGGCAUAAGCCAGCUUGACUGCGAGCGUGACGGCGCGAGCAGGUGCGAAAGCAGGUCAUAGUGAUCCGGUGGUUCUGAAUGGAAGGGCCAUCGCUCAACGGAUAAAAGGUACUCCGGGGAUAACAGGCUGAUACCGCCCAAGAGUUCAUAUCGACGGCGGUGUUUGGCACCUCGAUGUCGGCUCAUCACAUCCUGGGGCUGAAGUAGGUCCCAAGGGUAUGGCUGUUCGCCAUUUAAAGUGGUACGCGAGCUGGGUUUAGAACGUCGUGAGACAGUUCGGUCCCUAUCUGCCGUGGGCGCUGGAGAACUGAGGGGGGCUGCUCCUAGUACGAGAGGACCGGAGUGGACGCAUCACUGGUGUUCGGGUUGUCAUGCCAAUGGCACUGCCCGGUAGCUAAAUGCGGAAGAGAUAAGUGCUGAAAGCAUCUAAGCACGAAACUUGCCCCGAGAUGAGUUCUCCCUGAGACUUAG